rnacentral:rRNA from 1 species
UCAUUACACAAUAAACAUAUGAAGGCUGCACCGCCAACAGGCGGCAAGGCUGGAGUAUUUUAUUACCCUUGUCUUUUGCGCACUUGUUGUUUCCUGGGCGGGUUCGCCCGCCUCCAGGACCACAUGAUAAACCUUUUUUAUGCAGUUGCAAUCAGCGUCAGUACAACAAAUGUAAAUCAUUUACAACUUUCAACAACGGAUCUCUUGGUUCUGGCAUCGAUGAAGAACGCAGCGAAAUGCGAUACGUAGUGUGAAUUGCAGAAUUCAGUGAAUCAUCGAAUCUUUGAACGCACAUUGCGCCCUUUGGUCUUCCAAAGGGCAUGCCUGUUCGAGCGUCAUUUGUACCCUCAAGCUUUGCUUGGUGUUGGGCGUUUUUGUCUUUGGUCUUGCCCAAAGACUCGCCUUAAAACGAUUGGCAGCCGGCCUACUGGUUUCGCAGCGCAGCACAUUUUUGCGCUUGCAAUCAGCAAAAGAGGACGGCACUCCAUCAAGACUCUUUAUCACUUUUGACCUCGGAUCAGGUAGGGAUACCCGCUGAACUUAAGCAUAUCAAUAAGCGGAGGA